CGAAGGUUUUGAUCAGUAACCAUGGUCAAAUAGUUAGCCACGGUGUACUGUCGAUUUAGGGCCAGAUAGCACUGCAUUUUGAUUUGUGCUUGUGUUUCCCAAUAAGCAAUGUAGUUUUGUUUUCACUGUGUUGUAAUUUGGGUUCAUUCUGAUUGAUUGGAUGUUCUGGUCCUGAGGCUUCAGUGUGUUAGUAGAACAGAUUAGUGAACUCAGCCCCAGGACCAGCUGGAUGAGGGUCCUGAGGCUUCAGUGUGUUAGUAGAACAGGUUAGUGAACUCAGCCCCAGGACCAGCUGGAUGAGGGUCCUGAGGCUUCAGUGUGUUUAGUAGAACAGGUUAGUGAACUCAGCCCCAGGACCAGCUGGAUGAGGGUCCUGAGGCUUCAGUGUGUUUAGUAGAACAGGUUAGUGAACUCAGCCCCAGGACCAGCUGGAUGAGGGUCCUGAGGCUUCAGUGUGUUAGUAGAACAGGUUAGUGAAC
rnacentral:lncRNA from 1 species